rnacentral:sRNA from 1 species
AAGUUCUCGACGGGGCUCCUCCUCCCAAAAAUCCCUGUCGGGUCGCGGUUAGCCUUUCCUCCUCCCUAGGCUGACCGACUUCAAAAGCACCCGCUGGACCUCCUCCCCCAGCGGGUGCUUUUU